rnacentral:rRNA from 1 species
AGAGGGUGCGAGCGUUAAUCGGAAUUACUGGGCGUAAAGCGCACGUAGGCGGCUUUGCAAGUCGGUUGUGAAAUCCCCGGGCUCAACCUGGGAACUGCGACCGAGACUGCAUUGCUAGAGUAUGGGAGAGGAAAGCGGAAUUUCUGGUGUAGCAGUGAAAUGCGUAGAUAUCAGAAGGAACAUCAGUGGCGAAGGCGGCUUUCUGGACCAAUACUGACGCUCAGGUGCGAAAGCGUGGGGAGCAAACAGGAUUAGAUACCCUGGUAGUCCACGCCCUAAACGAUGACAACUGGAUGUCGGGAGGGUUUGCCUUCCGGUGUCGUAGCUAACGCGUUAAGUUGUCCGCCUGGGAAGUACGGCCGCAAGGUUG